rnacentral:rRNA from 1 species
UACGGAGGAUUCGAGCGUUAUCCGGAUUUAUUGGGUUUAAAGGGAGCGUAGGCGGGUUGUUAAGUCAGUUGUGAAAGUUUGCGGCUCAACCGUAAAAUUGCAGUUGAUACUGGCAUCCUUGAGUACAGUAGAGGUAGGCGGAAUUCGUGGUGUAGCGGUGAAAUGCAUAGAUAUCACGCAGAACCCCGAUUGCGAAGGCAGCAUACCGGCGCCCGACUGACGCUGAAGCACGAAAGCGUGGGUAUCGAACAGG